CCCUUAGAUGUUCUGGGCCGCACGCGUGCUACACUGACACUUACACCGAGUUUUUCCGGCCCCGAGAGGUGACUGGUAAUCAGUAAUAGGUGUCGUGAUGGGGAUAGAUCUUUGGAAUUAUUGAUCUUGAACGAGGAAUGCCUAGUAAUCGUAGGUCAUCAGCCUGCGAUGAUUACGUCCCUGCCCUUUGUACACACCGCCCGUCGCUCCUACCGAUUUCGAGUGGUCCGGUGAACCUUUCGGACAGAGAGAGUCUCGUACAAUCUCUGAAAGUCAAGUAAACCACAUCACUUAGAGGAAGGAGAAGUCGUAACA
rnacentral:rRNA from 1 species